UAAGGAAUAUUGGACAAUGGUCGAAAGACUGAUCCAGCCAUGCCGCGUGCAGGAUGAAUGCCCUAUGGGUUGUAAACUGCUUUUAUACGGGAAAAAACCCCACUACGUGUAGUGGGCUGAUGGUACCGUAAGAAUAAGGAUCGGCUAACUUCGUGCCAGCAGCCGCGGUAAUACGAAGGAUUCGAGCGUUAUCCGGAUUUAUUGGGUUUAAAGGGUGCGUAGGUGGAUUAAUAAGUCAGUGGUGAAAGCCCGAAGCUCAACUUCGGAACUGCCAUUGAUACUGCUAAUCUUGAGUACAAUUGAAGUGGGCGGAAUGUGUCAUGUAGCGGUGAAAUGCUUAGAUAUGACACAGAACACCGAUUGCGAAGGCAGCUCACUAAGUUGUAACUGACACUGAGGCACGAAAGCGUGGGGAGCAAACAGGAUUAGAUACCCCCGUAGUCC
rnacentral:rRNA from 1 species